CAUAAUCAACGUUAUGUUUCAGUGAAACCUGGAAUCUCGGCGGAUAGAUAAUAAAUAAAUGACAUGGAUUGUGUGAAAUCUAGGGAUAUUUGAAAUAUUAAUUUAACAUGGCCAUGUGUAAAGUAAACGAUAAACAGUACAGUUAAUGCGGGAUGAGCCAAUAGGAGAGUCACGAUCAGAAAAGCAAAUCAUGAUCCAAGAAGAAAUAAAGAGAAAAAUCUUUUUUUUUUUUUUUAAAGUCAUAAAAUGAAGAAAGGAAAAACGAAAAGCAAGCAACGGCAAAAUUAAUGUGCUCGGCUGUCCAACGCGGUUUUCAAUCUUUUAUUGUAUUGCCUCUCGCCUCUGCUCUGCCGCUGCCGCCAAUGCCAUGGCCCUAUAUGCGUGUACUUAUCUGGUCUUUAAUUAAUUACAAUCCUCUCAUCUCAUUUUUGCAUAUUCAUGACUCGUUCAUUUACUAAUUACUUUAUUUAUUUAAUUAACUCAUCACCAAUCCAUUGCAUUAGAAUAAUCCGAUGCCUUCUGACCGACGAAUUGGAAACGCAAAAGGCUAGAAAAUUUUCUGAAAAUAUUUUGAUUGGUUGAAAGAUUGAAUGAAAUAUUAGGGGCUGAAAAAUCCUAAAACAAGACUGCAUCAACAUUCAAAAGAUCGUGGCAGAUUCCAGAAGGUUGAGAGUAG
rnacentral:lncRNA from 1 species